rnacentral:rRNA from 1 species
GAUGAACGCUGGCGGCGUGCCUAAUACAUGCAAGUCGAGCGAACAGACGAGGAGCUUGCUCCUCUGACGUUAGCGGCGGACGGGUGAGUAACACGUGGAUAACCUAUCUAUAAGACUUGGAUAACUUCGGGAAACCGGAGCUAAUACCGGAUAAUAUAUUGAACCGCAUGGUUCAAUAGUGAAAGACGGUUUUGCUGUCACUUAUAGAUGGAUCCCCCCCGCAUUAGCGUGUUGUAAAGGUAACGGUUUACCAAGGCAACGAUGCAUAGCCGACCUGAGAGGACAGUCGGCCGCACUGGAGCUGAGCUAAGGUCUAGACUCUUAGGAGAGGCAGGAGUAGGGCAUCUUCGGCAGUGGGCGAUAGCCUGACGGAGCAACGGCGCGGGAGUGAUGAAGGUCCUCGGGUCGUAAAACUCUAUUAUUGGGGAAGAACAAAUGUCUAAAUAACUGUGCAAGUCUUGACGGUACCUAAUCAGAAAGCCAGGGCUAGUUACGU